UAGUUCGGAUUGCAGGCUGAAACUCGCCUGCAUGAAGCUGGAAUUGCUAGUAAUCAUAGGUCAGCAUACUAUGGUGAAUACGUUCCCGGGCCUUGUACACACCGCCCGUCACACCAUGAGAGUUGAGAAUACCCGAAGUCCAUGUCAAAGUGGCCGAAGGUAGGCUUGAUGAUUGGGGUGAAGUCGUAACAAGGUAGC
rnacentral:rRNA from 1 species